rnacentral:lncRNA from 1 species
AGAGAGUAGAUACAGAGUUAUGGCAUGAGAUAGCCAUACCAGGUCGCCCCUGGAUAGUCCAGGUCGCUCCUGGUACUAUGAGUGAGACAGCUGGGCUGUCAAAUCAGAGUUAAGUGUAGACCAGGUGAGACUUCGUCUCCUUGGCACAGUUGGUCAUGUUAUGAUAUCAGAGAGAUAAGUGUAGACCAGGUGAUGACAUAGUGAAAGCUUGUAUAUGUGUUAUGUAUGUUGUUGUGUUGGGGGUUUUAGGUAGGUUGGGACCCCUUUGUUCAUAUACUUGAGUAUAUGUGUGUUGAGUAAAGGAGUUAGGCAUGUUUAGAGAGGUGGAAAGGAUGGAGGAGCUAGGUUGCGGGAGAAGCUGAGUUCUUGAAGAACUCAGGUUCGGCAGCCGAAGGAGCAUUCGGCCGCCGAACCCCUUGCAUGGUGGCUUAGGCUGCCACAGCUUGCCCCCGAGUGUUUUUGAGGUUCGGCUCUGUUUAGGGGAUUCGGCCGCCGAAGGUGCCGCCGAAGGUUAGAGACUUUCGUCUCUGGAGUGUGUUGUGGCCCCCGAACCUUGCCCCCGAAAGGGUUCGGCAGCCGAAAGUGGAGAUUCGGCCGCCGAACGUAUGCGAGUUUCGGCUCUAGACAGGGCAUUCGGCCGCCGAACCUGCCGCCGAAUGUGUUCUGUCUAGCUUUUCUUUUGCAUGCUUUGUGUGCUUGUGUCAGGAGUGUAACAGCCCGGAAACCGAUACCCCUCUGUAACGGCCUGAACCGCCACCGGCGCUAGGAUCCAGAUCGGCUUAAGGCCGCCGGGACCCGUAGCAAGCCAAACAUACAUACUAAUACCUGGUCAAAUCCCAUACAUGAUCAAAAACUUAACAUAAAAACUGAAAACAUCUGAUGUAUAUCCCGAGCCUGACCUGUAUGCAACAUAACUGGAAACAUAAAAGAACCCCCCUACUAGAGCCCUCAUCAUAACUCUAGCUGGGUCAACAUAACAUACAUCAAGUUGGGAUCACAUCCAAAGAACUAUGACCUAACCUGUGCAUGCCUCAAUCACAAACAUAAGACCUCUACUAGGGUCCUCAUCAAAUACCAUAGCGUGGUAAACAACACAUGCCACAAGAUUAGUUCAAACAUAACUUAACAUCUAAAACAUUACAUACAUCAUGUAUUAAACAGGGACUAACCAAGUCUUAGGGCCAAGCACAGUACUAAACCAUAAACAUAACUUUACUAUACUAUACAUUACAUAACCUUAUCUUCAAUUACAUUACAUCUCAUGUCCACAACUAACAUACUAUUCUAUUACAUAACCUUUACCCUUGACAUCUUCCUGAGCAACCUCUGACCUGCAAAACUGGGAUUAGGGGAAAGGGAUGAGCUAAAAAGCCCAGUGAGUAGAAACAUAGAAAACAGUUCAUUAAUUACAUGCUCUCAUGAAAUGCGUCAUAACACAAAGAAAUCACAUAACUGUCUCUGUUCCGUCUCGGGGCUCAUGCAGAUAAAUAUUCCCCACGGAGUGUUUUUGAGAGUUCCUCUAUGCUAGCGUCCUUUACUCUCAAGGAUCGGACAUGACCUCAAAAAUCCCUCUGUCGGUGCCCGGCUCCCCCAAAGGAGCUCGCAUAGGCCUAUAACAUACAUGACAGGGUGCCAAAUCCACAGAGAGCUCACAAGGACUUUCCUAUGUGUACUUGUCCGGCUCUCGAAGGACUCACCCAAGACUCAAUGACAGAUAUGGGCUAUUGAAGUCGCCUUGGUCCAAACCUCCUGAAUCAACAUCAAAUAAUGCAAUGCGCCAUAUUCGUGAACUAGUGCAAACAACCUACUACAUAUAAUCAUGAUGCAUGAACAUGCUUUAGGCAUUUGAUUUUCUUAAAAUAAAAGAUUAAGUUAGUUCUACUCACCUCCUUGCAGACGCUGACUGACUCUGCAACUGCUAGCACUACUGGCCUCCUCGGUCUCUCGGGUCCGAUCCUACACAGGUGGACUCGAAUGAGGUGCCAAACAUACUCUAAAAAAACUCAUAAACAUACCCCCAAAAACCCCUCUAAACAUCACUAAAACAUGCUGGACAGGGCACUUUCGGCGGCACUUUCGGCGGCCGAAAGUCCCUUCCAGAGACGAAACUCGGGUAGGUUCGGCGGCAGGUUCGGCGGCCGAAACCUCUGGACAGAAACGAAAGUCAGGCACCUUCGGCGGCCGAAUCCUUCCUUCGGCGGCCGAAAGUCUGCUUUCAAGCCAAACUCAGCUUUCGGGGGCAAGGUUAGGCGGCCAAACCAUGCAUUCAAAGGCAGGUUCGGCGGCCGAAGCCACUUUCGGCGGCCGAACCUGAGUUCUUCCCAGAAGGGCAGAACUCAGCUUCUCAUGCAUUCAAGCCUCCCAAACCUUCCAAACACCCCAAAACAAGCACCCAACUUUACCAAAACAUGCAUAAACCUUAAACCAUGCACAAAGGAGCUUAAACAACUAGCUUAAACUCCAAAACCAACAACAAAACAUACAUAUCAACAUACAUUGGCACAAAACCCACAAAAUCCUUAAACAUGCAUUUCUACCCAAACUCAACCAUUAAAACCAUCAUAAAACUUCAUGAAAACACUAGGGAAGCAAAGAUCUACACUUACCUCUUGAAGAUCGAGGGUGGUGUGAUCCCUAACUCGGAGGUGUGGAGAAUCCAAGCUCCAAAAGCUCCAAGCUCCCAAAACUUGAUCUAAGCUUGAAAACUCUUCAAAAUAACCAUGGAACUCAUGAAAACAUGAAGGAGAUGAAGAAAGAACAUGAAAACGGCCAAGGGAGGACAAAAACUCACCUGAGCUCGAGAAUGGGGAGAAAACUCUCCCAUUUCCGAUCUGAGGGCCUUUUAUAGGUGGCCUGGUCGAACACCUUCGGCGGCCUAACGUGCCCCCUAAACUCAUGCAAGUUCGGCGGCCGAACCUGACUUUCGGCGGCCGAACCUUGGCUCGUUCAAACAAGACUUUCGGAGGCCAAAAGCACUCCCGAAGCCUUUCCAUGUUCGGCGGCCGAACUCCACUUUCGGCGGCCGAACCUGGCAAACGCCUCCUUGGUCUUUUCUCUUCAAAACUCAAUUUUCUUUCAAUUAAAACCCUUAAAAUCAUUUGAAAAUAUUUUUAGAAAACACAUUUUACCCUUCUAGAGAGGUCCAACACCCUAGAUUCCGCCGGAAGGCAGAAAGUCCGAUGCCGGAUUCUAGCCGGGUAUUACAAAUACCCGGCAGAGUCAGACAUCGGAAUUUCUACCGUUCGGUGGAAUUCGAGGAUGUCAGAAGUCUCUGGAAGGGUACGAGAAAGUUUUCUCAAAUGUUUUCAAGUGUUUUAAAGGUUUAGCGUAGAAAAGAGUUGAGUUUUGUGGAGAAUUGGCCAAAGGAGUUUCUGUCAUGUUCGGCCCCUGAAGGUUAAGUUCGGCCCCCGAAAGUGCCCAAUGUUCGGCCCCCGAAGGUUAUGUUCGGCCCCCGAAAGUUGCAUGGUUUUGCAUGCAGUUUCGGCAGCCGAAGCUGAGGUGGUCGAUUAGUUGUGCACGCUCCUCCGUCCGUGGUUUGGCCAGGUGUUCACCUCCAGAUCAUGACCAGAGGUUAGGCCACGUCUCCCUUGACUCAUCUACAAGUUUUUAAGCAGCUCAUGCAGAGGGUUGCUCGUUUGCAAGAGGUUUUGAAGGUUUUGAGAGAAAAGAGAGGUUUUGGUGGUUUGAAGCUUGUGAAGGGGAUUUGUUGGGUUCAAGUUGUUCCUCUUCUAGUUUCAGGAGGUAAGAGAGGUCUUUAUACUUGUUUUCAUGGUUUAAGUGGUUUAUGAACAGCUUUUAAGGAGGUUAAGGGUAGAGUUGUGUAUAUAGGUUUUAGGUGUUAUGUUGAUGGUUUAAUGGUGUAAGCAUGUUAUGUGUAUUGUUUUGUUGGCGUUUAAGUUGUUUGAUGCUCCUUUAUGCUUGUUAACAUGUUUAUGCAUGUUUUAGACGGGUUAACUGCAUGUUUUGAGGGCUGAGCAAGUGCUGGAGGGACUGGCAGGCGUCCUUGUGCACGAAACUGAGUUCUGGAUGAACUCAGGUUCGGCCGCCGAAAGUCCAAGUUAGGCCACCGAACAUGCCUGACUUUCGUCUCUGGAGGAGACAUUCGGCCGCCGAAGGUGCUGCCGAAGGUGCCCUGUCCAGCCUUCCUUUGCUUGUUUUGCAUGCAUGUUGUGAGGUGUUCUAGAGGGGUUUUGGGGAACUUUGUUAUCAGUUGCAUAGAGUAUGUGUGGUGCCUCAUUUGCGUCCUCCAUUGUAGGAUUGGACCCGAGGAACCGAGGUGUUUAGCCCAGAGUUAGCCAAGCAGUGGCUACAGGUGAGUGGAACUAAACGUCCUAUUUUUUUUGAGAAAUGACACGAUUCUAGCAUGAUCCAUGCAUCAUAAACUACCAUGUUAUAUCUUAGGUUGUGUUGCAUUAGAAUUCACGAAUAUGCUGCAUUGCAUAAGAUGUUGUUCCUGUGGAUGAAUGUUGGAUGAUCCUCAGCCCAUGACAGAGAGCAGAUACAGAGUUAUGGCAUGAGAUAGCCAUACCAGGUCGCCCCUGGAUAGGCCAGGUCGCUCCUGGUACUAUAGUCAGAGCACAGAGCAGAGUUAAGAGAAGACCAGGUGAUGACAUCGUCUCCCUGGCACAGUUGGUCAUGUUAUGACAUCAGAGCAGAGAUAAGAGUAGACCAGGUGAUGACAUCGUCUCCCUGGCACAGUUGGUCAGAUUAUCACAUGUAGUUAAGGGCUAUUGGUGACACGUUCAUCCUUGAGAUGAUAUGUUUGUGAUGUGCUGCAUUUCAUGAGAGCAUGUAAUGAAUGAACUGUUUUUAUUGUUCCUCCUCACUGGGCUCUAGAGCUCAUCCCACUCCCUUACCCCCAGUUUUGCAGGUCCUGAGAUAGCUAUGGGAAAUCAAAGUCAGCAAGAGUACAGAGGAAAGUUGUGCUUGAAUGUAUGCUGUAAUAGUGUAGUGGACAUGAUGUAAUUAAAAGAUUAACUGCCAUGUAAUGUAUAGAUCUGUACUGUCAUAUAUGGAUAGACUUGUGCUUUCCCUAGUGUUAUUUUGCUGUUGUGUAAUGUAUGCUGAAUCCCCUGUACAUGAAUCCUGUUUUACGUUUCUUGAUGAGAAAUGUGUGAGUUAGGCUUAAUGUAUGGCUUCGAUGAGAUACCGGUGGAAUGUGUUACAGAUUAAAAGGGUUUCAUUCCCAUGCCCCACAGCAGAUAGUGGUCCCUGGUAUAGGCCCUGAGGGUCAUUUCAGAUUGACAUAUCUGAGUAGCAGCAGUUAAGCCUACAGAGUUUUACAGGAUUGUUGAGUCUAUUGGUAUCAUGUCUGGGAUUUAUCAGGUACACAGAGAGUAUAGUCGGCUUGCUACGGGUCCCGGCGGCCUUAAGCCGAUCUGGAUCCUAGUGCCAGUGAUGGUUCGGACCGUUACUGAUGGGUACCGGUUUUCGGGUCGUUACAGAUUGGUAUCAGAGCAUAGGGCCUCAAGAGUACGGUGUGUUGAUAUAUUCCACAUCGGAAAGAGGUGUUGUCUUGUAUAGGAAGGGAAGCACAAUAAGUUAAAAUCAUGUCCACUAGGAUAGGAUGUGGAGUCCUGUCUUGCAUGCUGAUGUGAAAUGCCAUGAUGAGCUGCAUGUGCCUUAUUGAUAUGUUUGAUAUGUGCUGAGGAUUCAUGUGUUUUCACAUGGAUCAUUUAAUGAUAUUUUUGUGUGAUGUUGUGCUUUUCAGAGGCAGGAUGAGAGGAACUCGUCGAUCUGCUCGAUUGACUGGAGCUCCGCUAGAGGAUGAGGACAUGGAUGCCCAUCUCCCUGUUCUGCAAAGGGCAACAUCAGCUAGUGUAAGCAGAGAAGGUACAUCAAGGGACCCUAGAAGGUCUGUUGAUGAGAGUAGAAGGGGAAUCGUUCAGAGUGGUAUGUCAGGGGUUAUGAGAGAAAUAGAGGAGGAUGAGCAGAGUAGAGAUGGUAGCUUUGGCAGGAGUAGGUUGGGAGGAGAUAUGGGUGAGUCCCAAGGAGGCACUCAGACCUCGAGAGUUGUUCCACCUCAGUAUCCACCCUACCCGUGGGGGGCAGAGUACCCAAUGAGAAGUACAUCAGAGUUGCCUAGGUAUAACCCAUAUCCCUCUUUUAUGCCCUAUCCUUCCUUUUACCCGCCAUAUCCACAGUAUACCAUGUGUCCACCCUUCUUUUGUUACCCAGGGUCAGUAAACCCUAACCCAAGGCAUGUUACACCUCCUCCAUCACCAGGAGAACCAGUAGCCCCAAUUGUCCAACCACCCAAGCCUAUUUCACCUGGGAAAAGUAUGGUGCAGAUGACAGCUUAUUUGAGGUUGGAUGUUCCCAAAUUUGAGACUGGUGAUGACUCUGUUGAGUAUCUUAGACUGGUCAAGAUGAUAACUGAUGAGUUGGGAGCCAGUGAGAGUAGAGCCAUUCAGAUGGCAGGGAGCACAUUGAAUUGUGCGAAGGCAAGGGAAUGGUUUACCCAGUACGUGAACCCGAGGGUAGAAAGCUUAUCUUGGGAGCAGUUUGCUGCAGAGUUUGUAGGAUGGGCUUGUCCAGAGAAUUCAAGGGAGCAUAAGGAGAGUGAAUUUGCGCAGCGUUAUUUUGCUGUUGUGUAAUGUAUGCUGAAUCCCCUGUACAUGAAUCCUGUUUUACGUUUCUUGAUGAGAAAUGUGUGAGUUAGGCUUAAUGUAUGGCUUCGAUGAGAUACCAGUGGAAUGUGUUACAGAUUAAAAGGGUUUCAUUCCCAUGCCCCACAGCAGAUAGUGGUCCCUGGUAUAGGCCCUGAGGGUCAUUUCAGAUUGACAUAUCUGAGUAGCAGCAGUUAAGCCUACAGAGUUUUACAGGAUUGUUGAGUCUAUUGGUAUCAUGUCUGGGAUUUAUCAGGUACAUAGAGAGUAUAGUCGGCUUGCUACGGGUCCCGGCGGCCUUAAGCCGAUCUGGAUCCUAGUGCCAGUGAUGGUUUGGACCGUUACUGAGGGGUACCGGUUUCCGGGUCGUUACAUCUGCAAAGACAAGGUAAGACAGUUCAGAUUUCAGAGGCUCGGAUGGAUCAGAGUUAGUCCUUAGAGGGGACAGCAUAGCAUACCCAGAAGUUUGAUAUCAGCCCUACAGGCUCGUGAAUUCUUUAGGAAAGGUAGUCAGGGGUUUUCUUGCUCUGAGCGCAUAGCCAGGUCAGGGAACCAGCCUCAGUACCCAUAAUCAGAAAGAGAGAAAGAGAGUGAUAUGUGUUGUACCAGACAAGCUAACAGGGUUACCAUUGGUAACACAAUAGAGAGUCUGAAAGGUAAGUGAGGAUAGAGACUAGACUCAUCUUCACCUCUUCCUUCGACAUGGUAUCUGUAGCAUGUCAGAGUUGAAAAACAACUGUAAGAGCUAGAAAAGCAGUUGCAAGUUUGAGAGAGAUAGUAGAGCAGUUGUGAACUUGGUAGUGCAGGCUUCUAUCCGACUUAGUACUACACCCUGGAAUGUUCCAGUGUUGAUGUGAGAAACGAGGAUGAAACCUUGAGAGUGUAUCACAACUGUGAGCAGUUGCACAAAAUCACGACCAAGGACAGGUGUUCCUAUGCAGAAGGGAUGAUCUAUAGGAACAACUAGUAGACACUGGUUAUUAUCAGUGUAUCCUAUAGAAACAGAUAACUAGAGAGCGAGAGAGCUAUAGAUAGUCCAGUGUAGUUAAAAGGGAUCAAAAGAGAAGAAGCCAGUAUAGUAAAGAAGAAGAAAGGCGGGCAAGGAUCAGAGUGGCGCAGCAAAAGCGUAGAAUAGUUUAGAAAAGCAAGAGUCGUGUAACUAAAAUAAUGAGAAUAACGCUGAGAAGAGCCAAAGAGACAGAAAAGUUAGCAGUCAGUAUAGAGUGUGGACACAGAUUAAACAGGUAAGAGGUAGGAAGUAUAGCCAACCCAAGAGUUUUACUCCAGUGGUAUCUGUGUCUCUUUGUAGAGGAAAGUGUUAGGCUUUCCUUAAUUGCUUAUUUGCAUGUGUGUUUGUUGUGUGAACAUUCGAGGACGAAUGUUCUUAAAGGGGGGAAGAAUGUAAUACCCGGCUAGAUUCAGACAUCGGAAUUCCUACCGUCCGGUGGAAUUCGGAGAUGUCAGAGGUUUCUGGAAGGGUAAGAGAAAGGUUUUCUAAAAUGUUUUCAAGUGUAUUAAAGGUUUAGAGUGGAAAAGGACUGAGUUGUGAAGAGAAAAGGCCAAAGGGGCAUUUUGCCAUGUUCGGCCGCCGAAGGUAAAGUUUGGCCGUCGAAAAUGCCCAAUGUUCGGCCCCCGAAGUUCAAGUUCGGCCCCCGAAUGUUGCAUGGUUUUGCAUGCGAUUCGGCAGCCGAAGUUGAGCUGGUCAGCCAGCUAUUGUGCACACCUCAUUCGAUGAAGUGGCCAGGUGUUGCCUCCAGAUCAUAUUAGGCCACAUCUCCCAUGACUCAUCUGCAGAGUUUUAUCAACUUAUGCAGAGGUUUGGCUUUGUUCAAAUGGUUUUUGAAGGUUUUGAGUCAAAAGUGAGCGUUGAUGGUUUGGUGAAGGAGAAGAGCUGUUGGUACAUCGUAUUGAGUUCAGGUUGUUCAGCUUCUAGUUUCAAGAGGUAAGGGAAGUUUUUAAACUUGUUUUAAUGGUUUAUGACAGCUUUUAAAGAGGUUAAGGGUAGAGUUGCAUAUGUAGGUUUGGUUUUGAUGUUUUUGAUAGUUUAUGCAUGAAAGCUUGUAUAUGUGUUAUGUAUGUUGUUGUCUUGGGGGUUUUAGGUAGGUUGGGACCCCUUUGUUCAUAUACUUGAGUAUAUGUGUGUUGAGGAAUGGAGUUAGGCAUGUUUAGAGAGGUGGAAAGGAUGGAGGAGCUAGGUUGCAGGAGAAGCUGAGUUCUUGAAGAACUCAGGUUCGGCAGCCAAAGGAGCAUUCGGCCGCCGAACCCCUUGCAUGGUGGCUUAGGCUGCCACAGCUUGCCCCCGAGUGUUUUUGAGGUUCGGCUCUGUUUAGGGGAUUCGGCCGCCGAAGGUGCCGCCGAAGGUUAGAGACUUUCGUCUCUGGAGUGUGUUGUGGCCCCCGAACCUUGCCCCCGAAAGGGUUCGGCAGCCGAAAGUGGAGAUUCGGCCGCCGAACGUAUGCGAGUUUCGGCUCUGGAUAGGGCAUUCGGCCGCCGAACCUGCCGCCGAAUGUGUUCUGUCUAGCUUUUCUUUUGCAUGCUUUGUGUGCUUGUGUCAGGAGCUUUUAGAGGGAUUUUGGGAAGUUGUUUAUGAGUGAAUAAGAGUAUGUUUGACACCUCAUUCGAGUCCAUUUGUGUAGGAUUGGACCCGAGAGAUCGAGGAGGUCACCAGUGUUAGUGGUUGCAGCGUCAGGUCAGUUUUCUGCUUGAGGAGCAGAGGUGAGUGGAACUAAACUUAAUAUUUUAUCUUGAGAAAUGACACGAUUCUAGCAUGAUCCAUGCAUCAUAAACUGCCAUGUUAUGUAGUAGGUUGUGUUGCAUUAGACUUCACGACUAUGAUGCAUUGCAUAUGUUGUUGUUCUUGUGGAUGAAUGUUGGAUGAUCCUUAGCCCUUGACAGAGAGCAGAUACAGAGUUAUGGCAUGAGAUAGCCAUACCAGGUCGCCCCUGGAUAGUCCAGGUCGCUCCUGGUACUAUGAGUGAGACAGUUGGGCUGUCAAAUCAGAGUUAAGUGUAGACCAGGUGAGACUUCGUCUCCUUGGCACAGUUGGUCAUGUUAUGAUAUCAGAGAGAUAAGUGUAGACCAGGUGAUGACAUAGUCUCCUUGGCACAGUUGGCAUUAUUAUAACAUGUAGUUGAGGGUUAUUGGUGACAAAUUCAUCCUUGAGAUGAUAUGUUUGUGAUGUGAUGCAUUUCAUGAGAGCAUGUAAUGAAUGAACUGUUUUUAUUGUUCCUCCUCACUGGGCUCUAGAGCUCAUCCCACUCCCUUAAUCCCAGUUUUGCAGGUUCUGAGAUAGCUAUGGGAAGUCAAAGUCAGCAAGAGUACAGA